rnacentral:rRNA from 1 species
AUUGAACGCUGGCGGCAGGCCUAACACAUGCAAGUCGGGCGGAUGAAGGGAGCUUGCUCCUGGAUUCAGCGGCGGACGGGUGAGUAAUGCCUAGGAAUCUGCCUGGUAGUGGGGGAUAACGUCCGGAAACGGGCGCUAAUACCGCAUACGUCCUGAGGGAGAAAGUGGGGGAUCUUCGGACCUCACGCUAUCAGAUGAGCCUAGGUCGGAUUAGCUAGUUGGUGGGGUAAAGGCCUACCAAGGCGACGAUCCGUAACUGGUCUGAGAGGAUGAUCAGUCACACUGGAACUGAGACACGGUCCAGACUCCUACGGGAGGCAGCAGUGGGGAAUAUUGGACAAUGGGCGAAAGCCUGAUCCAGCCAUGCCGCGUGUGUGAAGAAGGUCUUCGGAUUGUAAAGCACUUUAAGUUGGGAGGAAGGGCAGUAAGUUAAUACCUUGCUGUUUUGACGUUACCAACAGAAUAAGCACCGGCUAACUUCGUGC